rnacentral:rRNA from 1 species
UACGAAGGGGGCUAGCGUUGUUCGGAUUUACUGGGCGUAAAGCGCACGUAGGCGGAUUGUUAAGUCGGGGGUGAAAUCCUGGAGCUCAACUCCAGAACUGCCUUCGAUACUGGCAAUCUCGAGUCCGGAAGAGGUGAGUGGAACUGCGAGUGUAGAGGUGAAAUUCGUAGAUAUUCGCAAGAACACCAGUGGCGAAGGCGGCUCACUGGCCCGGUACUGACGCUGAGGUGCGAAAGCGUGGGGAGCAAACAGG